UUUCCGGUUGAUCCCGCCAGACCUGACUGCUAUCGGAUUGAUACUAAGCCAUGCGAGUCAUUGUAGCAAUACAAGGCAUACGGCUCAGUAACGCGUAGUCAACCUAACCUAUGGACGGGAAUAACCUCGGGAAACUGAGAAUAAUGCCCGAUAGAACAUUAUACCUGGAAUGGUUUAUGUUCCAAAUGAUUUAUCGCCGUAGGAUGGGACUGCGGCCUAUCAGUUUGUUGGUGAGGUAAUGGCCCACCAAGACUAUUACAGGUACGGGCUCUGAGAGGAGUAGCCCGGAGAUGGGUACUGAGACACGGACCCAGGCCCUAUGGGGCGCAGCAGGCGAGAAAACUUUGCAAUGUGCGAAAGCACGACAAGGUUAAUCCGAGUGAUUUCUGCUAAAGAAAUCUUUUGUUAGUCCUAGAAACACUAACGAAUAAGGGGUGGGCAAGUUCUGGUGUCAGCCGCCGCGGUAAAACCAGCACCUCAAGUGGUCAGGAUGAUUAUUGGGCCUAAAGCAUCCGUAGCCGGCUCUGUAAGUUUUCGGUUAAAUCUGUACGCUUAACGUACAGGCCGCCGGGAAUACUGCAAAGCUAGGGAGUGGGAGAAGUAGACGGUACUCGGUAGGAAGUGGUAAAAUGCUUUGAUCUAUCGAUGACCACCUGUGGCGAAGGCGGUCUACUAGAACACGUCCGACGGUGAGGGAUGAAAGCUGGGGGAGCAAACCGGAUUAGAUACCCGGGUAGUCCCAGCUGUAAACUAUGCAAACUCAGUGAUGCAUUGGCUUGUGGCCAAUGCAGUGCUGCAGGGAAGCCGUUAAGUUUGCCGCCUGGGAAGUACGUACGCAAGUAUGAAACUUAAAGGAAUUGGCGGGGGAGCACCACAAGGGGUGAAGCCUGCGGUUCAAUU
rnacentral:rRNA from 1 species